AUGCAAGUCGAGCGGGGGAAGGUAGCUUGCAACUGGACCUAGCGGCGGACGGGUGAGUAAUGCUUAGGAAUCUGCCUAUUAGUGGGGGACAACAUCUCGAAAGGGAUGCUAAUACCGCAUACGUCCUACGGGAGAAAGCAGGGGAUCUUCGGACCUUGCGCUAAUAGAUGAGCCUAAGUCGGAUUAGCUAGUUGGUGGGGUAAAGGCCUACCAAGGCGACGAUCUGUAGCGGGUCUGAGAGGAUGAUCCGCCACACUGGGACUGAGACACGGCCCAGACUCCUACGGGAGGCAGCAGUGGGGAAUAUUGGACAAUGGGGGGAACCCUGAUCCAGCCAUGCCGCGUGUGUGAAGAAGGCCUUAUGGUUGUAAAGCACUUUAAGCGAGGAGGAGGCUACUUUAGUUAAUACCUAGAGAUAGUGGACGUUACUCGCAGAAUAAGCACCGGCUAACUCUGUGCCAGC
rnacentral:rRNA from 1 species